rnacentral:lncRNA from 1 species
UAGAUUCACCGUAGAUUCAUCGAUCGACGAUCGAGCCAUUGGUUCGGUGAUCGACGAUCCAGUCGUAGAUUCGUCGAUCGGGAUGCGUUGGUCGAGGCCCUUUGCCUUCAAAGGCGGAGGCCAUCGCAGAUAUUUCGCUCUUUCGAUCUCCGUCGUAAAAUCCGCACAUGAGGAGAGGAGAGAGGGGCGUAGGAGUCAUACCUGCGAUGCGUCGAUCUC